GCCACCCAGCCCCUUGAGUGGGAAAAAUUUAAUACUGAAGUAAUUACUCUUAUUUCUGACAAUACAGAUAUGAAGAAUGCAUAGACAACCUAAAUUCAUUAUAGCCUUACUUCCAAUAUCAAGAUUCUUAAAAAAUAUUUCUCUCCAAGGAUAUUGUGCACAAGACAAUUUUUCUGAUGUGGCAGUGAACCCUGGGAUGAAGAAGUAAUAGUCUUUCUAAAGAAAAACACUCAAUUCUUGCACUAUAAAUACGGAUUUUAAAGAUAUGUUUCAAAUUCAGAACGAAGGAGAUCUGCAGCAUCCUGGAGGCUCCGACAGACUUUCACAGUCGCUGAGACUGUUUACAGCUCUUCUGGUUGCUUUGGUAGGAGCUGGGUACAUUUCCCUCCAGCCAGCUGAAACACGCCUCUCAAAAAGGAGGUCACUAGGAUUGUCAGUAUCUGCUUCUAUCUGACAGAACUCCUAAUUCUAGCCAUUUCUGUCAAAUCUCUUAUGAAAAGGAAAAAAAAAUCAGAUGACAGAAAACUUCCAACUCCAAAAUUCACAAUAAACUAAAAUAUACAGUGUCA